CUUGCCGCCGCCAGCGGCGGCGCCGUCGCCGGAGCACGGCGGAGCCGCCGUGCCGGAGUUGCGAUAUUGGCCAAAAAGGGGCCCUGAGCCUAAUUUGAGAUUUUUUGGAACACGUGCAGGUACCGUUAGUGUGUUUCAGUUCCCCAGGAAAAAAUUCAGGGAAAAUUAGGGACGGCCUGUAGGCGCACUGUGAAUCGUAAUUCGAAUCCCGAAAACAAGUAAGGACCCCUCACCCUAUUUCCUAUCACGGUAUUAAAGUUCAAAAUGAUAAAACGGUAUUUCUUGAAUUAACGAAUGUGUGAAAUUGCUUAAGGUGGCUAAUGGAGCUCGAGUCUAAUGUGAUUGGUGAUUUACUGUUAUUUGGCCUGUUUACUGCUUUAAAUGCAAAAUGAGGUUUGAUGUGUUUAUUUUACAGAUUUGUGUGCAUAUACUACGUUUUUAUUUAUUAUGGGUUGAAUGACUGAAAAACUGAUACUGUAUGUUGUCUGUUUGGCAUGAAUUACGAUUUGCUUGUUUAAAUGUGAAUUGAUGAUGCUGACUGAGGAAAAGGAAAAUAAAAGAUUGUGUAGACCGAUAAUUGUAUUAUGGGGUCAGCCUGACUAGAUAUCCUGGGAGAUGGUGGACGGACCGGGUCCGUAGGGAACCCUACCGGGAUUGUGGUCUCACAUGCCGGACGGGGUAUGGGGACGGUCCGUUUCACCCUCAUACCGGACGGGGUAUUGAGGUUUAUGGUUUUGGUGCCCAUACCGGACGGGGUAUGGGGACGGCCCUGGAAACUGAUUAUGAAUGUUAAAGGUUAACGGGUAGUGGGACCCCUAUGGACCCCCACGGAUACUAGUAGGCUGGUAAAUGAGAAAAAGAUAUGUUGUAUAAUGAUUGAAUUACAAGAGGCAUGAUAAGUGUUAUGUUUUACAGCUUAUAUUGUUCCAUGAUUAUGAUAAUGUUAUUGUUUUUCGUAUAAUGUUUUAUGAAUUCUACCGAGGUAAGUGGAUGAUAAAAGGUUUUAUCAUAAAUAAAAGGAUUUGUUGCAAAUUAUGCUCCAUUGGUCUUUUUUGUGUUUUCUACCCGCCUUUACCUCCGUGACGGUGAGAUAUCGUGAUGUUCUUACUGGGCUAGUGUAGCUCACUCCUUAUUUAACUAUUUCAGAUCAGGAAGACAUGGUUCCCGAGCCCGUUCCGCAGGAGGAGGACGAAAGGGAUGCCUAGAGACUCUGUAGUCAUACUCGUAGCUUUAUUUUCGAGUUUCUCUUUUAGUUAGUUUAAUCUUUUACAUUUUAAGUACGUUUUUGGUUUUCGUGUAAGGGAUGUUAACUGAAAUUUUGAUCUCGCUUCCGCAUUUGAUAUAUUUAAAUACUCAUUUCAUUUUAAUAUUUCCGGGGUCGUUACACGAACCUUAAUACAUCAGAUUUAAGUGUGAGUUUAUAAUAUGCGC
rnacentral:lncRNA from 1 species